UACAGAGGGUGCAAGCGUUGUUCGGAAUUAUUGGGCGUAAAGCGCGUGUAGGCGGCUUUGCAAGUCGGGUGUGAAAGCCCUCAGCUCAACUGAGGAAGUGCGCCCGAAACUGCAGAGCUUGAGUACCGGAGAGGAUGGUGGAAUUCCCCAAGUAGAGGUGAAAUUCGUAGAUAUCAAGCAGAACACCUGCGGCGAAGGCGGCCUUCUGGACGAUGACUGACGCUGAGACACGAAAGCGUGGGGAGCAAACAGG
rnacentral:rRNA from 1 species